UACGGGGGGGGGCAAGCGUUGUUCGGAAUUACUGGGCGUAAAGGGCUCGUAGGCGGCCAACUAAGUCAGACGUGAAAUCCCCUCGGCUUAACCGGGGAACUGCGUCUGAUACUGGAUGGCUUGAGAUUGGGAGAGGGAUGCGGAAUUCCAGGUGUAGCGGUGAAAUGCGUAGAUAUCAGGAGGAACACCGGUGGCGAAGGCGGAUCUCUGGGCCAUUACUGACGCUGAGGAGCGAAAAGCGUGGGGAGCGAACAGG
rnacentral:rRNA from 1 species